UCUGUGGGGCGCUCGAGCCGGAAGACGGACACGAGUGCUCACCGCGAUGUGCCCCUUGCGGGGGGCAGCACCUCACGGGCGACCGAAGCUGCAAAAAACGCCUGAAGCAAACACGACCACAAGACCGACCGAGAAGCGGAGCGCACAAAGCUGCUCAACAACACCGACCCCGGUGGUUUGCAACAGAAGAAGAAGAAUUGUAGCUCAGUGACUUUCCGGUGCUCCCUCAACGGCAAGAGAGGACCCCCUCCAAAUUCAGACAAGGAACAUCGAGAUCCAGAUCGAGAUCGCGUACCAGGCGGCGGAGUCGUCAGAGAUCUAGGUCAACGUCCUUGGCACGCAAUGUCAAGCCUCUAGCCCCCAAACAGGAGAGGGCUCCGCAGGCUAAACAUCAGGCGGCGGCCAUCGCCUCACAACAGAAUCAGAGAACGACCCCAGUUACCAUACACGGUUCCUCGUAACAUCCAGUCGGAGGAAGGUGAGGACGCCAAAAGCCUGCAGUGCGUCGAGUCGGCUCGCCGGCACAACAGCAGCUUCACCGUCCAUCUGCUGUCAGCCGGGAGCAUCGAUCAGCGCCUCCGAAUGUCCCUAUACCACGGCGUACUUUCGAAAAAUGCCAAAUUUUCGGUCUGCGGUGAUAAACGCGAGUGCCAUAUACUUGUGGGUACACCGCCGGCAUAAGCGGUGCUGCACAGAACAUCUGGGUGACUUUCUGCGCUUCGCCUUGCUUUGGAUCCACGGUGGUGUUCGUGUGGACUUAGACGUGAGUUUAACGGAGUCGCUGGAAUUCGGGAUAAAGAAUAUAUGUUCUACGAGGCCGACUGUAUUAUAUAGAGAGUCGGCUAGCACUGUACUAUUCUUCGACAAGCGUCAUCCCGCCCUCUGAGCGCAGAUCGACGAGUGCGCACGUAUGUACACAGUCCUGAUGUAUGGAAGCUUAUAGCAGGACCUGCAUUGGUGUCAACGCUUCUUUCAGACGCUGUAUUCUCUCGCAUCGUAAAUAUUGCUAGUUUCGUCGGCGUUCAUUCCUGUUUACGUAUCCAGGACGGGAGAGCUUGUUCAUUCCCGGACAUGCGUCAGAUGUACUAAAAAGGAUAAACGGCAGCUACGGCGUCCGCUUCUGGAACGGCGCGAGCAGAGGGAAACGAGCGGUGCCUCUGCUGCGGGUCUGGUUGUGCGUUGGACCUCCUCGCUCGUGCCCGCUUGCCCCAUCGUGUGCAAAUUAGCGUCCUCUGAUGGGGAGCAUUGAAUCAGUCGCGUCCCGCAAUGACAGCCUAUAUAUACUCUGUGCCUGCUAAAGGAAGCCGUCGUGAUGAUUUUGUUGUUAUACUCUUCCGGGACUGACGCCAUUGCUCGGUCGCAGCACAUGAUGGGCUACAGCAAUCAGUUCUAGCACACUUCGCGUUACUACGCGAGAGAUCUGGCCAGUAAAGCGGCUGUCAUAAUUUACCGCAGUUGAAAUCCCGCGUGCAUAUUUCGCAAUAUGUGGCAUUCUAUGAAUUGCUUUCAAUCUUUAUACUUUGCAGUAAUGCCUUAUCGAAAACGAGAUGUAAGGCGGACUUUCACGAUGCUCGGUGCGCAUCAUUCGAUGUCCGCUAUUUACAAUCUAUACGACGAACGUAGUCGCGAAAAGGGUAUUAGGAGAGACGCUUCAAUGAUGAAGUUUGCCAAGGAAAAUAAACCCUGCGUAGAGUGCUAAAAAAAAAAGGGGGGGGGGGGGAAUGCGCUGUAGUUAUUGCUUGCGUGUUCAUAUUUUGCAUCAUUGAAACUAUUCCGUGACGUAUCAGGACAAAUCGACGUAUCAAAUGUUAGAGGUCCAAAAGUAUAGCGCUGCGUUUUGAGCUGGGUUAUGCAACACUCGAAACCGUCUAUGCUCAAAACAAGCUCCUGUGAGGUGACUUACGACGACUUAAGGCGGAGUAAAGUGAAUUAAAGUGAGAUUAAUGAAGAUGAAUUAAAGUGGAUCAAGUUGGAUUGAAGUGGAUUAAGGUUGCUAGAAAUUAGAGAAAGGUAGAAUAAAGAGGAUUAAGGUGGAUUAAGGUUGGCAGAAAUUAGAGCAAGGCAGAUUAAGUACAGUUGUGAAGGACACGUAAAAAUGUUGGACGUCACGUAUCACAGACGUAACCAAUUAAUUGAAGAAAUUAAAAUGCUUUGGAAUUCAAAUCACGUAAGGAUACUUAAGAGACUGUCAAUUUUUCUUAUAUGCGCCCAACAAGAGCGGCUGUUUCAAUAAUUUUCAUUUUUCCCCAUUCAAUUCUUUUAAGUUCUUUUUCUCCUGGGCAAUAUACUGGCAAACACUUAUGUUCUCGAUAAUAAUAUUGUGCUAUCGGGAUUUUCAGUUUUUGUUUGUUUCGUGCCGUUGUUUACGAUGUUACAGUGCCACUGCUAUGUAUGUAUGAAAUUGUCCUUGCAGAUAUUUUUUUUAUCUUGAUGACAUGUUACUCGCUUAACUCACUUACCCAUUGUAACAUCCACUCUUACCGAAGGCCUGGUAAUAAAGCCUGUAGUUAUAAAUAAAUAAAAAAAUGAUGAAACCCUA